CAGAGGGAUCACUCAGUUGGCAGAGCAUGAGACUCUUAAUCUCAGGGUUGUGGGUUUGAGCCCCAUGUUGGGUGAAAGA